rnacentral:rRNA from 1 species
ACUCCUACGGGAGGCAGCAGUGGGGAAUAUUGCACAAUGGGCGCAAGCCUGAUGCAGCCAUGCCGCGUGUGUGAAGAAGGCCUUCGGGUUGUAAAGCACUUUCAGUCGUGAGGAAGGUGGUAGUGUUAAUAGCACUAUCAUUUGACGUUAGCGACAGAAGAAGCACCGGCUAACUCCGUGCCAGCAGCCGCGGUAAUACGGAGGGUGCGAGCGUUAAUCGGAAUUACUGGGGCGUAAAGCGCAUGCAGGUGGUUUGUUAAGUCAGAUGUGAAAGCCCGGGGCUCAACCUCGGAAUAGCAUUUGAAACUGGCAGACUAGAGUACUGUAGAGGGGGUAGAAUUUCAGGUGUAGCGGUGAAAUGCGUAGAGAUCUGAAGGAAUACCGGUGGCGAAGGCGGCCCCCUGGACAGAUACUGACACUCAGAUGCGAAAGCGUGGGGAGCAAACAGGAUUAGAUACCCUGGUA